rnacentral:rRNA from 1 species
GAACGAACGCUGGCGGCAGGCUUAACACAUGCAAGUCGAACGCGUGUAGCAAUACACGAGUGGCGCACGGGUGAGUAACGCGUGGAUAUCUGCCUUUUGGUUCGGAAUAACCCCGGGAAACUGGGGCUAAUACCGGAUGGUUCCUACGGGAUAAAGAUUUAUCGCCAAAAGAUGAGUCCGCGUACGAUUAGCUAGUUGGUGAGGUAAUGGCUCACCAAGGCGACGAUCGUUAGCUGGUCUGAGAGGACGAUCAGCCACACUGGGACUGAGACACGGCCCAGACUCCUACGGGAGGCAGCAGUGGGGAAUAUUGGACAAUGGGGGCAACCCUGAUCCAGCCAUGCCGCGUGAGUGAUGAAGGCCUUCGGGUUGUAAAGCUCUUUUGGCGGGGACGAUGAUGACGGUA